GGUAUGCAAAUUUUGAAAUAAUACUUGUAAGUCAGUCAAGGUUACUGUACUAAUUUUACCAUCACUUUACUGUGAAAGAAAGUAAUUUUGGUAGUAAUAAUAUCAUGUGCGGUAUAUAUUUGAUUCUUAAUAGCUAAGAACUGAUAAAUGGGAACAUAACUUUCACAAAUUUUGGAGGCGAUUAAACAUGUUGGAGGAUAUAGCAAUUGAUUAUUCAACAUAUUUCAAAGUGGACGUGUUGGAAGGAUUUAAAACAGUUCAAGAUGUUGUUGACAACAUGUUAACGAGGCUGGAGGAAUUGACGAGUGUUCUUCAAAUGGUUAAAUUAAAGAACGGCGAUUGCUGCAAUAUUGUGACUGAAGAUAUAAUAAAAUAUCGUAGAGAGAUAAAUGUGCUAGGGAAAAGGAUUUCGACCCUGUCCAAUGUAUUAAUGUUUUUAUCAAAUAAUGUUGAUACAGUUGAAAAACAAGUAGAGAGAGCUGAAGGUUUUUUUGGAGUACAAAAUGAUAACAAAUUAAAAAGUCUUCUCAAGCCAUUCAUAAAAAGAGGUAGGGAGACAAUACCUGACAAUAGUUUGCCUCCUCAUCAUAAAAUAGAUUUGAGUAGUGUAAUGGACAAUUUUCAAAGCAUGUAACAUGAGUUCAAGUUUUAAAAGUGAUACAAUGCACUAAUGUUGGGAUAGAAAAUAAUAAAUGAAUGUCAUAGGCACA